AUAACCUACCUAUAAGACUGGGAUAACUUCGGGAAACCGGAGCUAAUACCGGAUAACAUAUUGAACCGCAUGGUUCAAUAUUGAAAGGCGGCUUUGCUGUCACUUAUAGAUGGAUCCGCGCCGUAUUAGCUAGUUGGUAAGGUAACGGCUUACCAAGGCAACGAUACGUAGCCGACCUGAGAGGGUGAUCGGCCACACUGGAACUGAGACACGGUCCAGACUCCUACGGGAGGCAGCAGUAGGGAAUCUUCCGCAAUGGGCGAAAGCCUGACGGAGCAACGCCCCGUGAGUGAUGAAGGUCUUCGGAUCGUAAAACUCUGUUAUCAGGGAAGAACAAAUGUGUAAGUAACUGUGCACAUCUUGACGGUACCUGAUCAGAAAGCCACGGCUAACUACGUGCCAGCACCCGCGGUAAUACGUAGGUGGCAAGCGUUAUCCGGAAUUAUUGGGCGUAAAGCGCG
rnacentral:rRNA from 1 species